GUUCUUAUAAAGUAUUCGAGUCAGUGUUUGUUCACGUCAUUGCUAUUUAUUUCUAUAUUUAAAUUAGUUUAUUACAUAAAAGUAUAUUUAAAGUAAAUUCGGGUAUUAGAGUCAGUGUUGUCAGAUAUUUUUCAUCAUCUUAAGGCAGGAUGCUCAUCGUGCAAAGGAUGUAUGAAAACUUCAAUCAUCAUUAUAAUCCUGACUACAGCUACACAUGUGUUUAUUUAAAGUAGUUUGCAUUGUGUUAUUUAAAUUUUAGUAAUAUAGCUAGAGCACUUAAAUUAAUUGAAAAUAAAGUACUUAGUUAUAUAGUCAGGAUUUGUUCAUAUAAAGUAUUAAUUUUCUUUUCAAACAGUCGUACUGACUGUUCGCGUAUUAGAAUCAGUGCAUCAUUAAAGAUGAUCGAGAAAUUAAUAUUCUUCUUCUAUAGAAUAACAUUGAUAAUCAUUAUAAUUGUGCCUUACCAGUUUACAAUGAUGUAGAGCUACUUCAUUUUCAACUUACUUCGAUAUCAACUUACUUCCUUUUCAACUUUCUACGGAUCAUCCUUCUUGAAUCUGAAGUUACAUGGAGUACGAGUGUUUUGGAGCCGUCGCAGAACUUCUUAAGUAGUGAGUGAAAAAUUUUAAGUCCCUCCAGUGCCCAUCAUGCUGAGGAUGAAAGGUCCAUAUCGGCACGGGUUACUGGUUGUAAUUUUUUAAACAAAUUAUUGAUCAGCACGACCGUGAGUAAUUCC